GACAGAGGGUGCAAACGUUGUUCGGAUUUACUGGGCGUAAAGGGCGCGUAGGCGGCAAUUCAAGUCAGCUGUGAAAUCUACGGGCUUAACUCGGAACGGUCAGCUGAUACUGCUUUGCUAGAGUGCGGAAGGGGCAAUCGGAAUUCUCGGUGUAGCGGUGAAAUGCGUAGAUAUCGAGAGGAACACCUGAGGUGAAGACGGGUUGCUGGGCCGACACUGACGCUGAGGCGCGAAAGCCAGGGUAGCAAACGGG
rnacentral:rRNA from 1 species